CAUCAUAAGCAAGUAGUUCAUUGAACACCUGAGAUCUAUUUUUGAAAAAUGAUAGCUUCACUCUACCAUCUGAGCAGUAUAGAGAGAAUUUAGAAUUUAAAAAUUUUUUCAAUUUUACUGUUCUCUCUUCAUACCAUAUAAUAGCACCACAUUAUUCACAUACACAAUUAGGCCGAUCAAAAUCCUAAGAUUGAGUAAAUCUUCCUAAUAGUAACGUGUGUAAGAUUUAACUUAGAAAAACUAAAUAUAAUCCUUGAAAUAUAAUAAAAAAAAAUAAUACUAACUUUCAACCAAAGGAUCAAGUCCAAGCGCUGGUCUUAGGUCAGAAGUUCCACCUAAAUCUUUAAGAUCAUAAAAUCUCUACCUCACAUUUCUUUGGAUAAAAUUUAUAGCUAAGAAAAAUAAUAUCCAUAAUAAUAUUAUAAUUUUCAAAUCUCAGAUAUGUUAGAAACUAUGUCUCGAUAAAAUAUUACCUAUAUCAGUGAAAGUUUUCGAUUAUGUUUC
rnacentral:lncRNA from 1 species